GGGUUGUGAGGUUAAGCGACUAAGCGUACACGGUGGAUGCCCUGGCAGUCAGAGGCGAUGAAGGGCGUGCUAAUCUGCGAUAAGCGCCGGUAAGGUGAUAUGAACCGUUAUAACCGGCGAUACCCGAAUGGGGAAACCCAGUGUGAUUCGUCACACUAUCAUUAACUGAAUCCAUAGGUUAAUGAGGCGAACCGGGGGAACUGAAACAUCUAAGUACCCCGAGGAAAAGAAAUCAACCGAGAUUCCCCCAGUAGCGGCGAGCGAACGGGGAGGAGCCCAGAGCCUGAAUCAGCAUGUGUGUUAGUGGAAGCGUCUGGAAAGGCGCGCGAUACAGGGUGACAGCCCCGUACACAAAAGCGCAUGUGCUGUGAGCUCGAUGAGUAGGGCGGGACACGUGGUAUCCUGUCUGAAUAUGGGGGGACCAUCCUCCAAGGCUAAAUACUCCUGACUGACCGAUAGUGAACCAGUACCGUGAGGGAAAGGCGAAAAGAACCCCGGCGAGGGGAGUGAAAAAGAACCUGAAACCGUGUACGUACAAGCAGUGGGAGCCCCACCACUAAGCCAGUGGUGAACUCCACAUCCGCAUCCUUUGCUGAGGAUACGGUUAACGGAGCGAAAGCGACGUUCAACCGCAAAACAAGCAGAGGGGGCUUAGUGGUGGGGUGACUGCGUACCUUUUGUAUAAUGGGUCAGCGACUUAUAUUCUGUAGCAAGGUUAACCGAAUAGGGGAGCCGGAGGGAAACCGAGUCUUAAUUGGGCGUUAAGUUGCAGGGUAUAGACCCGAAACCCGGUGAUCUAGCCAUGGGCAGGUUGAAGGUUGGGUAACACUAACUGGAGGACCGAACCGACUAAUGUUGAAAAAUUAGCGGAUGACCUGUGGCUGGGGGUGAAAGGCCAAUCAAACCGGGAGAUAGCUGGUUCUCCCCGAAAGCUAUUUAGGUAGCGCCUCGUGAAUUCAUCUCCGGGGGUAGAGCACUGUUUCGGCUAGGGGGCCAUCCCGGCUUACCAACCCGAUGCAAACUGCGAAUACCGGAGAAUGUUAUCACGGGAGACACACGGCGGGUGCUAACGUCCGUCGUGAAGAGGGAAACAACCCAGACCGCCAGCUAAGGUCCCAAAGUCAUGGUUAAGUGGGAAACGAUGUGGGAAGGCCCAGACAGCCAGGAUGUUGGCUUAGAAGCAGCCAUCAUUUAAAGAAAGCGUAAUAGCUCACUGGUCGAGUCGGCCUGCGCGGAAGAUGUAACGGGGCUAAACCAUGCACCGAAGCUGCGGCAGCGACGCUGAUGCGUUGUUGGGUAGGGGAGCGUUCUGUAAGCCUGCGAAGGUGACCUGUGAGGGUUGCUGGAGGUAUCAGAAGUGCGAAUGCUGACAUAAGUAACGAUAAAGCGGGUGAAAAGCCCGCUCGCCGGAAGACCAAGGGUUCCUGUCCAACGUUAAUCGGGGCAGGGUGAGUCGACCCCUAAGGCGAGGCCGAAAGGCGUAGUCGAUGGGAAACGGGUUAAUAUUCCCGUACUUGGUGUUACUGCGAAGGGGGGACGGAGAAGGCUAUGUUGGCCGGGCGACGGUUGUCCCGGUUUAAGCGUGUAGGUGUGUGUUCCAGGUAAAUCCGGUUCACUUUAACACUGAGGCGUGACGACGAGGCACUACGGUGCUGAAGCAACAAAUGCCCUGCUUCCAGGAAAAGCCUCUAAGCAUCAGGUAACACGAAAUCGUACCCCAAACCGACACAGGUGGUCAGGUAGAGAAUACCAAGGCGCUUGAGAGAACUCGGGUGAAGGAACUAGGCAAAAUGGUGCCGUAACUUCGGGAGAAGGCACGCUGACACGUAGGUGAAGUGAUUUACUCAUGGAGCUGAAGUCAGUCGAAGAUACCAGCUGGCUGCAACUGUUUAUUAAAAACACAGCACUGUGCAAACACGAAAGUGGACGUAUACGGUGUGACGCCUGCCCGGUGCCGGAAGGUUAAUUGAUGGGGUCAGCGCAAGCGAAGCUCCUGAUCGAAGCCCCGGUAAACGGCGGCCGUAACUAUAACGGUCCUAAGGUAGCGAAAUUCCUUGUCGGGUAAGUUCCGACCUGCACGAAUGGCGUAAUGAUGGCCAGGCUGUCUCCACCCGAGACUCAGUGAAAUUGAACUCGCUGUGAAGAUGCAGUGUACCCGCGGCAAGACGGAAAGACCCCGUGAACCUUUACUAUAGCUUGACACUGAACAUUGAGCCUUGAUGUGUAGGAUAGGUGGGAGGCUUUGAAGUGUGGACGCCAGUCUGCAUGGAGCCGACCUUGAAAUACCACCCUUUAAUGUUUGAUGUUCUAACGUGGACCCGUAAUCCGGGUUGCGGACAGUGUCUGGUGGGUAGUUUGACUGGGGCGGUCUCCUCCUAAAGAGUAACGGAGGAGCACGAAGGUUGGCUAAUCCUGGUCGGACAUCAGGAGGUUAGUGCAAUGGCAUAAGCCAGCUUGACUGCGAGCGUGACGGCGCGAGCAGGUGCGAAAGCAGGUCAUAGUGAUCCGGUGGUUCUGAAUGGAAGGGCCAUCGCUCAACGGAUAAAAGGUACUCCGGGGAUAACAGGCUGAUACCGCCCAAGAGUUCAUAUCGACGGCGGUGUUUGGCACCUCGAUGUCGGCUCAUCACAUCCUGGGGCUGAAGUAGGUCCCAAGGGUAUGGCUGUUCGCCAUUUAAAGUGGUACGCGAGCUGGGUUUAGAACGUCGUGAGACAGUUCGGUCCCUAUCUGCCGUGGGCGCUGGAGAACUGAGGGGGGCUGCUCCUAGUACGAGAGGACCGGAGUGGACGCAUCACUGGUGUUCGGGUUGUCAUGCCAAUGGCACUGCCCGGUAGCUAAAUGCGGAAGAGAUAAGUGCUGAAAGCAUCUAAGCACGAAACUUGCCCCGAGAUGAGUUCUCCCUGAGACUUUAGGUCUCCUGAAGGAACGUUGAAGACGACGACGUUGAUAGGCCGGGUGUGUAAGCGCAGCGAUGCGUUGAGCUAACCGGUACUAAUGAACCGUGAGGCUUAACCUUACAACGCCGAAG
rnacentral:rRNA from 1 species